GAUUUCCUGCUCUCAGCUUUGGCCCUACUCCUCGCACUCAGGCUGAUUCUGCGCACUUACAAAUCUUCUCCUCUUGGAUUUCUCCUGCGCGCUCGGAUUUUUGUAGUGUUACAAUCCUAUCAAAAUUCCCCAACCAAUAGAAUGCCAGGUGUAGUGUUGACCAAUUAAAUGAUCCCUGCCCUGUUGAGGGUGCGUUUGUUUUACGUUAGAACGUCUGUUGCGGACAACUGUAACCAAGUUUAUUUACCCCUGUCGUCCAUCGCUUUAUUAUUAGUAUAUGUCAACAAUGUGCACAGAAUGGUCAACGCUCUUUCACCUGCACCCAUCAGGAAACGGGAGAAAGCUUUGAAGUGGGACAUAUCAAGUUAGGUCCACAACUACGAGGGUGUGACUGAAGUACCCCUGUUGAGCUGUAUCACAGCUGCACCGUGUGCAUGGACCAGUGUUGUACAACCACACUACACUACUGUGUUGUUCCAGUCAGUACAUUACUCCCAACGCAAAAUCCCAUUGGACUCACCUGUGUGCAGAGGGCAGGCAGCAGUGGCACAAACCAAGAACGGUGCACAACCAGGCCCGGGAGAGAAAAUUACCGUGAUGUCUACAAAACCAAAGCAGAGAAGGAGCACACUAUACAAAGACAACAGUUGAGAGUUGCUGGAUCUGUCUGUCCUCAAAUUGCCAGAGAUCUACAAGGACUUCACCCGUUUCUGCACCAUCACCUGGAUAAUCCAAGUGAUAAAAAAGAGAACAAACUAUUGUGUUCUCUGCUUCCAUGAAUAGGUGUCUGUAAUGUCUGCCAACAUAUACAAUCAAUUCAAUAAAUGUUGAUAAGUAUCACUGAUAUUUCUUAAAUCAUUGUAGUUUUUCAGAGCAAUAAGAUACAGAUUAUUAAAGCCAUGUUCAUAUUUGCAACAAAUUAAAACCCUGAUCAAGGCAAAUAGGUUUUUUCAUGUUCUGUAACCUUUAUAAAAAAAAAAAAAAAGUACAAUUAAAUUUACCA